rnacentral:rRNA from 1 species
UACGUAGGGGGCAAGCGUUGUCCGGAUUUAUUGGGCGUAAAGAGCGUGUAGGCGGCUUGGAAGGUCAGCUGUGAAAACUCGAGGCUCAACCUCGAGACGUCGGUUGAAACCACCUGGCUAGAGUCCGGAAGAGGAGAGUGGAAUUCCCGGUGUAGCGGUGAAAUGCGCAGAUAUCGGGAAGAACACCCGUGGCGAAGGCGGCUCUCUGGGACGGUACUGACGCUGAGACGGCGAAAGCGUGGGGAGCGAACAGG